UCAGUUCAGAUUGCAGGCUGCAACUCGCCUGCAUGAAGUCGGAAUUGCUAGUAAUCGUAGGUCAGCAUACUACGGUGAAUACGUUCCCGGGCCUUGUACACACCGCCCGUCAAACCAUGAGAGUUGGCAACACCCGAAGUCGGUAGUCUAACCGCAAGGAGGACGCCGCCGAAGGUGGGGUUGAUGACUGGGGUGAAGUCGUAACAAGGUAAC
rnacentral:rRNA from 1 species